GUGGGUUACAUGAAACCCACUGGUGUUCAGAGAGGCUGGAGAAAGCAAAGCAGGGAAAACUCUAGGAUGAGAUAGUUAACAGUCAACAAUUAACAUAACAAUAACAAUGAAGGAAUUUAUAGUCUCCUGUCCAGGCACCCAGGGCAUUUGGUUGUGGCCUGAGGUGUCUGGAAAAAAGGGAAGUUAGAAGUUACCCAGACAUUUCAAGGGUAUGUUAUAGAUGCAAAAAGACAGAUAGGCUCAGUUAAGGUAAAGGUUGACCUUGUUGGUGAAGAUACCGGCCUAAGACAUAACUACCCACCAUAAUUGCUUUUAGUUAAAGUUUAAUUUCAGACCAUCCUUUGUAGUUACUUUAGGUCUCAUUGGGUCAUCUGCAAUUACAAAUACCAUGCAGGUCUUCCUUGAGUUUGUCAGGUUAGCAUGGAGCUCCUUUCAUCAACAUAGCAAAACUGAUAUUAAAGACUCAAACUAUAAGAGCACAUUUAUAAAAUCAUGGAGGUGGAAGAAGUAAUUCGUACAAGAUAGGCUUAGGAAACAAGAUAUAGAGGUAAGGGAAGGGCCCUUGGAGCUUAGAAGUGAGGAAGGUAAAGGUGAUGCAGGGGGCAGGGGGAAGCAAAGGCUUGCUCCUGGGAGGGAGAGCCCUCUGGGUCCCCUAUUCCCAGGGUUUUAAGGAGAUUUAGGGGAGGUCCCAGGGGAAGAUCUCAGUAGAAUCUUCAGCAGCUUUCCUGGUCUGUCCUUUCAGGGUCCUGUCCCCACUGAUUGGUUGGUUGGUGCCAGGGCAGGGGGUCAUUUUUCAAUGGAGCUGGUCCUGAAGUCAGCCAUGGCUUUGCUCCUCUGGUUUUGCUGCUUUUUUGGGCCUGGAGCUAAAAUACAA